CACACACACACACACGCACACAAAGGUUUUUUUAAAUACAGUUUUUACUGUAUUAUUGAUUUUUAUCACCUGGGAAACAUGGAAACCAAAUGUAUUCAAACAAAGGACACAAAAGUGUAAGUUUAGUGUGUAGUGUGUAGUAUGUAGUGUAGUGUGUAGUGUGUAGUGCAGUGUGUAGUAUGUAGUGUAGUGUGUAGUGUGUAGUGCAGUGUGUAGUGUGUAGUAUGUAGUGUAGAGUGUAGUGUGUAGUGUGUAGUUGUGAGUGUAGUGUGUAGUAUGUAGUGUAGAGUGUAGUGUGUAGUAUGUAGUGUAGAGUGUAGAGUGUAGUGUGUAGUGUGUAGAAAACACUAAUGUUGUAAUAGUAAUAGUUGAUUUCCCCACUGAUGUGAAAUCAAAACAUCAUCUCUCUUUGUAGAUCUUAUUUAGUUAGCUGAUGUUCUAC
ensembl:lncRNA